CGUUAGACGAACGGUCUGGAAAGUCCGACGAUACAGGGUGAUAGUCCCGUAGUUGACGACGUGUGUUCAGUGAAAUCGAGUAGGGCGGGACACGUGAUAUCCUGUCUGAAUAUGGGGGGACCAUCCUCCAAGGCUAAAUACUACUGACUGACCGAUAGUGAACCAGUACCGUGAGGGAAAGGCGAAAAGAACCCCUGUGAGGGGAGUGAAAUAGAACCUGAAACCGUGUACGUACAAGCAGUAGGAGCAGGCUUGUCCUGUGACUGCGUACCUUUUGUAUAAUGGGUCAGCGACUUAUAUUCAGUGGCAAGGUUAACCAUCUAGGGGAGCCGUAGGGAAACCGAGUCUUAACUGGGCGUUCAGUCUCUGGAUAUAGACCCGAAACCAGGUGAUCUAGCCAUGGGCAGGUUGAAGGUUGAGUAACAUCAACUGGAGGAC
rnacentral:rRNA from 1 species